rnacentral:rRNA from 1 species
CCUACGUGAGGCAGCAGUGGGGAAUAUUGCACAAUGGGGGAAACCCUGAUGCAGCGACGCCGCGUGAGUGAAGAAGUAAUUCGUUAUGUAAAGCUCUAUCAGCAGGGAAGAAAAUGACGGUACCUGAGUAAGAAGCCCCGGCUAACUACGUGCCAGCAGCCGCGGUAAUACGUAGGGGGUAAGCGUUAUCCGGAUUUACUGGGUGUAAAGGGAGCGUAGACGGCAGUGCAGGUCUGGAGUGAAAGGCGGGGGCUCAACCCCCGGACUGCUCUGGAAACUGUACGGCUGGAGUGCAGGAGAGGUAAGUGGAAUUCCUAGUGUAGCGGUGAAAUGCGUAGAUAUUAGGAGGAACACCAGUGGCGAAGGCGGCUUACUGGACUGUAACUGACGUUGAGGCUCGAAAGCGUGGGGAGCAAACAGGAUUAGAUACCCUAGUAGUC